GCAUCGGUGGUUCAGUGAUAGAAUGCUCGCCUGCCACGCGGGCGGCCAGGGUUCGAUUCCCGGCCGAUGCA